AGAGUUUGAUCCUGGCUCAGGAUGAACGCUAGCUACAGGCUUAACACAUGCAAGUCGAGGGGAAACGACAUCGAAAGCUUGCUUUUGAUGGGCGUCGACCGGCGCACGGGUGAGUAACGCGUAUCCAACCUGCCCACCACUUGGGGAUAACCUUGCGAAAGUAAGACUAAUACCCAAUGAUAUCUCUAGAAGACAUCUGAAAGAGAUUAAAGAUUUAUCGGUGAUGGAUGGGGAUGCGUCUGAUUAGCUUGGUUGGCGGGGUAACGGCCCACCAAGGCGACGAUCAGUAGGGGUUCUGAGAGGAAGGUCCCCCANAUUGGAACUGAGACACGGUCCAAACUCCGUACGGAGGCA
rnacentral:rRNA from 1 species